UUGAUGAUGAUGAUUUCAACAUUAGAUAGACAAAUUAUGUGUCGGCGUGAUUAAAAGGUUGCUUGCUAUUACCUACUGCCUUCCUUAUAUGAGAUG
ensembl:snoRNA snoRNA:Me18S-G423